UGGGGAAUAUUGGACAAUGGGCGAAAGCCUGGUCCAGCCAUGCCGCGUGUGUGAAGAAGGUCUUCGGAUUGUAAAGCACUUUAAGUUGGGAGGAAGGGCAGUUACCUAAUACGUGAUUGUUUUGACGUUACCGACAGAAUAAGCACCGGCUAACUCUGUG
rnacentral:rRNA from 1 species